rnacentral:piRNA from 1 species
AGUCUUGAUGAUAAAAUUCUAACUGAGG